rnacentral:rRNA from 1 species
UACGUAGGGUGCGAGCGUUGUCCGGAAUUAUUGGGCGUAAAGAGCUCGUAGGCGGUGUGUCACGUCGGCCGUGAAAACCUGCAGCUUAACUGUGGGCGUGCGGUCGAUACGGGCAUCACUGGAGUUCGGCAGGGGAGACUGGAAUUCCUGGUGUAGCGGUGAAAUGCGCAGAUAUCAGGAGGAACACCAGCGGCGAAGGCGGCGCUCUGGGCCGGUACUGACGCUGAGGAGCGAAAGCGUGGGUAGCAAACAGG